GGAGAGGUGGCAGAGCGGUUGAUUGCACCGGUCUUGAAAACCGGCAGGGGGUCAUUCCCCUCGUGGGUUCGAAUCCCACCCUCUCCGCCA
rnacentral:tRNA from 2 species